AGAGAUCAUGGCUCAGAAUCAACGCUGGCGGCGUGCCUAACACAUGCAAGUCGAACGCGAAAGGGGAGCAAUCCCUGAGUAGAGUGGCAAACGGGUGAGUAACACGUGGGUGACCUGCCUUCGAGUGGGGGAUAACGUCCCGAAAGGGACGCUAAUACCGCAUGACAUCCUGCCCUUGGACGGGCGGAGAUCAAAGCUGGGGAUCGCAAGACCUGGCGCUUGAAGAGGGGCCCGCGCCUGAUUAGCUAGUUGGUGGGGUAAUGGCCUACCAAGGCAACGAUCAGUAUCCGGCCUGAGAGGGCGGACGGACACACUGGGACUGAGACACGGCCCAGACUCCUACGGGAGGCAGCAGUGGGGAAUUGUUCGCAAUGGGCGCAAGCCUGACGACGCAACGCCGCGUGGAGGACGAAGAUCUUCGGGUCGUAAACUCCUGUCGAGUGGGAAGAAUGGAUCGGGGGUGAAUAGUCCCCGGUAUUGACGGUACCACUAAAGGAAGCCCCGGCUAACUCCUUGCCAGCUGCCGCGGUAUUACGGGGGGGG
rnacentral:rRNA from 1 species